rnacentral:rRNA from 1 species
GCAUAUCAAUAAGCGGAGGAAAAGAAACCAACAGGGAUUGCCUUAGUAACGGCGAGUGAAGCGGCAACAGCUCAAAUUUGAAAGCUGGCCCUUUCAGGGUCCGCGUUGUAAUUUGUAGAGGAUGAUUCGGCGAGGGCUCCCGCCUAAGUCCCCUGGAACGGGGCGUCAUAGAGGGUGAGAAUCCCGUAUGCGGUGGGCUGCCUUAGCCAUGUGAAUCUCCUUCGACGAGUCGAGUUGUUUGGGAAUGCAGCUCUAAAUGGGAGGUAAAUUUCUUCUAAAGCUAAAUACCGGCCAGAGACCGAUAGCGCACAAGUAGAGUGAUCGAAAGAUGAAAAGCACUUUGGAAAGAGAGUUAAAAAGUACGUGAAAUUGUUGAAAGGGAAGCGCUUGCAACCAGACUUGUCCGCAGUUGCUCAGCCGGUCUCCUGACCGGCGUACUCUUCUGCGGCCAGGCCAGCAUCAGUUCGGGCGGUCGGAUAAAGACCUCGGGAAUGUAGCUCCUCUCGGGGAGUGUUAUAGCCCGGGGUGGAAUGCGGCCAGCCUGGACUGAGGAUCUCGCUUCGGCAAGGAUGCUGGCGUAAUGGUUGUAAGCGGCCCGUCUUGAAACACGGACCAAGGAGUCUAACAUCUAUGCGAGUGUUUGGGUGUCAAACCCAUACGCGUAAUGAAAGUGAACGGAGGUGGGAACCCGCAAGGGUGCACCAUCGGCCGAUCCUGAUGUCUUCGGAUGGAUUUGAGCAAGAGCAUAGCUGUUGGGACCCGAAAGAUGGUGAACUAUGCCUGAAUAGGGUGAAGCCAGAGGAAACUCUGGUGGAGGCUCG